CUGGUGUUGAGAUCCAGGGUGACAAUACUGUGAGUUCCGGGCAAAAAAAAAUCUCCGUUUUGACAUUCCACAUUCAGUACACUCCUGGAGUGUUAGAUAUGGAUAGAAGACAGGCAACCACGUGCAUCCUCUUGCUAAUCGUGUUACUUGGUAAUUUUGCUUCCGCAGCAGACGACGACUAUUGCUGGGAAGAAUACAAUGAUAGUGCAUUAUGCUUUGGUUUCGUCUGCAAGGCAGAGUGCUGGAUGAACUCGAAACUGGAAUAUGCGGGCACAAAACCAACUGUCAAGGGAUACAAGUGUACGGGAUCAAAACUGAAACACCGUUGUCACUGCUAUUAUUGUGUACCGUGGUCCAACUAGAAACAUAAUCUCACGUUCUUUGUUUUUUCAAUCUUAGCAUCAUGUUUACCAGUAUGUAUGCUCAAUGCUAUCACCGCGGACAGUGUAUUUAGUUCUGUCUCAGUAGGAAUAAGCAAUAGACGUUACUAGUUCAUCCGUUAUUACUCUAUAUAUUUGCCAGUUGUCCUUUUGUGCUUCGGUGGUACCACUAAUAAUUUAGUUUUGCUUUGACUAAUAUAUGUACAAUGGGGUUGUUGUUA